UACGUAGGGUGCGAGCGUGGUCCGGAAUUACUGGGCGUAAAGAGCUCGUAGGUGGUUUGUCGCGUUGUUCGUGAAAACUCACAGCUUAACUGUGGGCGUGCGGGCGAUACGGGCAGACUGGAGUACUGCAGGGGAGACUGGAAUUCCUGGUGUAGCGGUGGAAUGCGCAGAUAUCAGGAGGAACACCGGUGGCGAAGGCGGGUCUCUGGGCAGUAACUGACGCUGAGGAGCGAAAGCGUGGGGAGCGAACAGG
rnacentral:rRNA from 1 species